rnacentral:rRNA from 1 species
AUUGAACGCUGGCGGCAGGCCUAACACAUGCAAGUCGAGCGAGCGGCGGACGGGUGAGUAAUGUCUGGGAAACUGUCUGAUGGAGGGGGAUAACUACUGGAAAAGGCAGCUAAUACCGCAUACCAUCAGAUGUGCCCAGUCGGGAUUAGCUAGUAGGUGGGGUAACGGCCCACCUAGGCGACGACCCCUAGCUGGUCUGAGAGGAUGACCAGCCACACUGAAACGGAGACACGGUCCAGACUCCUACGGGGGGAAGCAGUGGGGAAGAUUGCACAAUGGGCGCAAGCCUGAUACAGCCAUGCCGGGUGUGUGAAGAAGGCUUUCGGGUUGUAAAGCACUUUCGGCGGGGAGGCGUUACCCGCAGAAGAAGCACCGGAUGACUCCGUCCCAGCAGCCGCGGUAAUAC